CAGUCGCCACGGGAAUACGAAGGGUGCAAGCGUUAAUCGGAAUUACUGGGCGUAAAGCGUGCGUAGGCGGUUUGUUAAGUCUGUUGUGAAAUCCCCGGGCUCAACCUGGGAAUGGCAAUGGAUACUGGCAAGCUAGAGUGUGUCAGAGGAUGGUGGAAUUCCCGGUGUAGCGGUGAAAUGCGUAGAGAUCGGGAGGAACAUCAGUGGCGAAGGCGGCCAUCUGGGACAACACUGACGCUGAGGCACGAAAGCGUGGGGGAGCAAACAGGAUUAGAUACCCGGGUAGUCCCUGUCUCUUAUA
rnacentral:rRNA from 1 species